AUGAAGGAGGAGGAUAUUCUCUGAAAGGAGCUUCAGGUCUACAUGUCCACAUUCUUGCACCACAACUGCAAUAUCGUUGCACAUCAUCAUAUAGUGUCUCUCUUCAUCCUGAUAAAAGGAAAAGAAUUAUCAAUCAAAAUAGAUAUAAACAUCGGCCCUAGUGUCAACCACUGAUUAGUGGAUUGGCAUGCUAGAUUAUCUCAGGACUAUUAGAAACAUACCCAUCCAGUGAGAUGGCAUCACAAAAAAUCUUCUUGGCCUA
rnacentral:lncRNA from 1 species